GCCAGCAAGAGUCAUGAGUACUUGUCAACUCGACUCCUCAACUGGAGAUAACUUUCUAGCACCUCACCAUGGGGAAGAACGCAUUCAUAUGCCUUCACCAGCACCUGCAUUAAACAUGCAGAGAGUUACACAAGGAACGGCAGUCCCUCCUCGACUCCCUCCACCCCCCUCACCAGCAGCCCUCAACAUGUGGC